ensembl:misc_RNA Metazoa_SRP Metazoan signal recognition particle RNA
GGCAGUUGUGGUGGUGCACAGCUGUAGUCCCAGCUACCUGGGAGGCUGAGGUGGGAGGAUCGCUUGAGCCCAGGAGGUUGAGGCUGCAGUGAGCCGUGACUGCUCCACUGCACUCCAGCCUGGGCAACAGAGUGAGAUCCUGUCUCAC